UACGUAGGGUGCAAGCGUUAUCCGGAAUUAUUGGGCGUAAAGAGCUCGUAGGCGGUUUGUCGCGUCUGCUGUGAAAACUGGAGGCUCAACCUCCAGCCUGCAGUGGGUACGGGCAGACUAGGGUGCGGUAGGGGAGAUUGGAAUUCCUGGUGUAGCGGUGGAAUGCGCAGAUAUCAGGAGGAACACCGAUGGCGAAGGCAGAUCUCUGGGCCGUAACUGACGCUGAGGAGCGAAAGCAUGGGGAGCGAACAGG
rnacentral:rRNA from 1 species